rnacentral:rRNA from 1 species
AGUGAACGCUGGCGGUAGGCUUAACACAUGCAAGUCGAACGGCAGCACAGUAAGAGCUUGCUCUUACGGGUGGCGAGUGGCGGACGGGUGAGGAAUACAUCGGAAUCUACUUUUUCGUGGGGGAUAACGUAGGGAAACUUACGCUAAUACCGCAUACGACCUACGGGUGAAAGCAGGGGAUCUUCGGACCUUGCGCGAUUGAAUGAGCCGAUGUCGGAUUAGCUAGUUGGCGGGGUAAAGGCGCACCAAGGCGACGAUCCGUAGCUGGUCUGAGAGGAUGAUCAGCCACACUGGAACUGAGACACGGUCCAGACUCCUACGGGAGGCAGCAGUGGGGAAUAUUGGACAAAGGGCGCAAGCCUGAUCCAGCCAUACCGCGUGGGUGAAGAAGGCCUUCGGGUUGUAAAGCCCUUUUGUUGGGAAAGAAAAGCAGCAGGUUAAUACCCCGCUGUUCUGACGGUACCCAAAGAAUAAGCACCGGCUAACUUCGUG